CCUACGGGGGGCAGCAGUGGGGAAUAUUGGACAAUGGGCGAAAGCCUGAUCCAGCCAUGCCGCGUGUGUGAAGAAGGCCUUCGGGUUGUAAAGCACUUUCAGUGGGGAAGAAAGCCUUGGGGCUAAUACCCUCUAGGAAGGACAUCACCCACAGAAGAAGCACCGGCUAACUCCGUGCCAGCAGCCGCGGUAAUACGGAGGGUGCGAGCGUUAAUCGGAAUUACUGGGCGUAAAGCGCGCGUAGGCGGUCUGAUAAGCCGGUUGUGAAAGCCCCGGGCUCAACCUGGGAACGGCAUCCGGAACUGUCAGGCUAGAGUGCAGGAGAGGAAGGUAGAAUUCCCGGUGUAGCGGUGAAAUGCGUAGAGAUCGGGAGGAAUACCAGUGGCGAAGGCGGCCUUCUGGACUGACACUGACGCUGAGGUGCGAAAGCGUGGGUAGCAAACAGGAUUAGAUACCCGUGUAGUC
rnacentral:rRNA from 1 species